rnacentral:rRNA from 1 species
GAUGAACGCUGGCGGCGUGCCUAAUACAUGCAAGUCGAGCGAACGGACGAGAAGCUUGCUUCUCUGAUGUUAGCGGCGGACGGGUGAGUAACACGUGGAUAACCUACCUAUAAGACUGGGAUAACUUCGGGAAACCGGAGCUAAUACCGGAUAAUAUUUUGAACCGCAUGGUUCAAAAGUGAAAGAAGGUCUUGCUGUCACUUAUAGAUGGAUCCGCGCUGCAUUAGCUAGUUGGUAAGGUAACGGCUUACCAAGGCAACGAUGCAUAGCCGACCUGAGAGGGUGAUCGGCCACACUGGACCUGAGACACGGUCCAGACUCCUACGGGAGGCAGCAGUAGGGAAUCUUCCGCAAUGGGCGAAAGCCUGACGGAGCAACGCCGCGUGAGUGAUGAAGGUCUUCGGAUCGUAAAACUCUGUUAUUAGGGAAGAACAUAUGUGUAAGUAACUGUGCACAUCUUGACGGUACCUAAUCAGAAAGCCACGGCUAACUACGU